rnacentral:rRNA from 1 species
GAUGAACGCUAGCUACAGGCUUAACACAUGCAAGUCGAGGGGUAACAAGAGGAAAGCUUGCUUUUCUUGUUGACGACCGGCGCACGGGUGAGUAACGCGUAUCCAACCUGCCUAUAACUAGGGAAUAACCUUGCGAAAGUAAGACUAAUACCCUAUGAUUUCCUUUGAUGGCAUCAGUUUAGGAAUAAAGAUUUAUCGGUUAUAGAUGGGGAUGCGUCUGAUUGGCUUGUUGGCGGGGUAACGGCCCACCAAGGCAACGAUCAGUAGGGGUUCUUAGAGGAAGGUCCCCCACAUUGGAACUGAGACACGGUCCAAACUCCUACGGGAGGCAGCAGUGAGGAAUAGUGGUCAAUGGGCGGAAGCCUGAACCAGCCAAGUAGCGUGCAGGAUGACGGCCCUAUGGGUUGUAAACUGCUUUUAUACAGGAAUAAAGUUAGCCACGUGUGGUUAUUUGUAGGUACUGUAUGAAUAAGGACCGGCUAAUUCCGUGCCAGCCGCCGCCGUAA